rnacentral:rRNA from 1 species
AUGGAGGCGAGCAAGGGAGGCGAUGGGAGCUCGGGCGCCUCGCCGAGCAACGAUGACAGCACGGUGGAGGAGGAGGGAGCGAGCCGUCAAGAGCAGGAGGACGCCUGCAGGGGGAACUCUUUGUCGUCCUCGUCGGUGCGCCCCUACGUCCGCUCCAAGAACCCGCGCCUCCGCUGGACGCCGGAGCUCCACCACUGCUUCGUCCGCGCCAUUCACAGGCUCGGCGGCCAAGACCGUGCAACUCCGAAGCUCGUUCUUCAGUUGAUGAACGUCAGAGGGCUUAGCAUAGGCCAUGUCAAGAGCCACCUCCAGAUGUAUAGGAGUAAGAAGAUUGAUGACUCAGGCCAGGUCAUAGGUCAUCUCCCCUUGCCCCAUGCCUUCCAUCAUCGCCAGAGUGGCGCCGGCACCAUGUUGUCAAGGUUUGGUGCUGCUGCAUGGCCUCCAUGGAGAAGCUUCCAUGAACCAUAUUGGGCCCAUGGUCGCCCCUUUCUUGGAUCCAAGACCUACAACUCUUUGGAAGCUGAAGCCGAGGCGGCUUUCCUUCGGUCCCGAGCUCAACAUGUAGCUCGGGCUGCAUCUAGCAAUCCGGGAUUGAUGAUGCAGUCAGGCUGUCCAUCUCGGAACGAUCAUCAUACCAUGAACCACCAGCCUAAACGACUGCUGCAACUGACAGUGCGCAAUGACGACGAUACCCAUGUUCUUCUUGAUCUUGAUCUCGGUCUCUCGCUCGGUCUCCCCGUGCCGAUGAGGGAGGCGAAGCGGAGGAGAUCGGGCUGCGGCUGGGUGAAAGAAGGCCCUGAUGAGAAAGGAGCCGAUGAAGAACAAGUGGAUGAGACCAGCACUGCCACUAUGCUAUCUCUGUCCUUGUUCUCUCCUAGGGAUGCUCCUAGGAAGAUGAGUAGUACUAGUGCUAGUGAUCAUGCAGUAGAUGAGCAUGCUACAAGGAGGGCAAGUACUCUUGAUCUCACCAUAUGA